rnacentral:rRNA from 1 species
GAUGAACGCUGGCGGCGUGCCUAAUACAUGCAAGUCGAGCGAAUGGAUUGAGAGCUUGCUCUAUGAAGUUAGCGGCGGACGGGUGAGUAACACGUGGGUAACCUGCCCAUAAGACUGGGAUAACUCCGGGAAACCGGGGCUAAUACCGGAUAACAUUUUGAACCGCAUGGUUCGAAAUUGAAAGGCGGCUUCGGCUGUCACUUAUGUAUGGACCCGCGUCGCAUUAGCUAGUUGGUGAGGUAACGGCUCACCAAGGCAACGAUGCGUAGCCGACCUGAGAGGGGGAUAGGCACACAUGGGACUGAGACACGGCCCAGACUCCUACGGGAGGCAGCAGUAGGGAAUCUUCCGCAAUGGACGAAAGUCUGACGGAGCAACGCCGCGUGAGUGAUGAAGGCUUUCGGGUCGUAAAACUCUGUUGUUAGGGAAGAACAAGUGCUAGUUGAAUAAGCUGGCACCUUGACGGUACCUAACCAGAAAGCCACGGCUAACUACGUGCCAGCAGCCGCAGUAA